rnacentral:rRNA from 1 species
GUGGGGAAUAUUGGACAAUGGGCGAAAGCCUGAUCCAGCCAUGCCGCGUGUGUGAAGAAGGUCUUCGGAUUGUAAAGCACUUUAAGUUGGGAGGAAGGGCAGUAAGUUAAUACCUUGCUAUUUUGACGUUACCGACAGAAUAAGCACCGGCUAACUUCGUGCCAGCAGCCGCGGUAAUACGAAGGGUGCAAGCGUUAAUCGGAAUUACUGGGCGUAAAGCGCGCGUAGGUGGUUUUGUAAGUUGGAGGUGAAAUCCCCGGGCUCAACCUGGGAACUGCCUCCAAAACUGCAUGACUAGAGUACGGUAGAGGGUAGUGGAAUUUCCUGUGUAGCGGUGAAAUGCGUAGAUAUAGGAAGGAACACCAGUGGCGAAGGCGACUACCUGGACUGAUACUGACACUGAGGUGCGAAAGCGUGGGGAGCAAACAGGAUUAGAUACCCUUGUAGUCC